CAGAGGUCAGGUGACUGUGACUCAGACUCCUUCAGUGCAAACUGUUGUUCCAGGAAACACAGUCACCAUCAACUGUAGAACCAGUAGCAGGGUGUAUUAUGGUAACGAACUACACUGGUACCUGCAGAAACCUGGAGAAGUUCCUAAACUCCUGAUCUAUGAGGCUACUAACUUAAACUCAGGGACUCCAGCUCGUUUCAGAGGUAAUAGGAGAAAGAGUGAAAAAAUAAAACCCUGCCGGUGGUCCUCCACCUCCAGAUUAUACACUGGCUGAAGAAUUGGCCCUUUAAUGGAGGACCAUAGCUCUGAAAUACCUCUUCUGACCCAGGUGGCUCCAGCAUAUCAAAGCCUUUUGUAGACGUUGAGUAAAAGUGGACUAAAAUAAAAUGUAAUUGAAAUAGAUGUGUAAGCAUUAAUAA